rnacentral:lncRNA from 1 species
CCUCGAAUUCGAUCAAAACAAAUACGCUCUAAGUUGUUUUUUUCUUUUUGAGAGAGAGAAAGAUUGCAUGCUAUCCGUUUCGUUUAUUUCUCUUAAAAUAAAAAAUAAGCAUAGCUGAAAAUGUGAAAUAAUUAGAUUUCCAACUUAGAACCUCGAGUAUCUACUACUAAAUCUUUUGCCACUUGCACUAUGGAGGUCGGUACACUCUAAGUUGUUGAAAGGGUUGUUU